GGGUUCUUAGCUUAGUGGUAGAGUAUUUGACUGUAUAUCAAGAGGUCAUUAGUUCAAACUCAAUGGGGCCUU
rnacentral:tRNA from 1 species